GUACGGGGGGGGCGAAGCGUUGUUCGGAAUUACUGGGGCGUAAAGGGCUCGUAGGUGGCCAACUAAGUCAGACGUGAAAUCCCUCGGCUUAACCGGGGAACUGCGUCUGAUACUGGAUGGCUUGAGAUUGGGAGAGGGAUGCGGAAUUCCAGGUGUAGCGGUGAAAUGCGUAGAUAUCUGGAGGAACACCGGUGGCGAAGGCGGCAUCCUGGACCAACACUGACACUGAGGAGCGAAAGCCAGGGGAGCAAACGGG
rnacentral:rRNA from 1 species